GGGGGAGGGAGAAGAGAAGCAAUGCUCUCUGGUGUCAGGGAGAAAUUCACGACUGGAUUGACUGUUUUGACAGUUGAUUUUUACUUUUUUUUCCCUCCAACUUCAGAACCAUGACAGACAAUUGCUGAACAUCAAACUAAGGAGUGAACACUUCAUCAGAUCUGCUUGCCUUAACAACAAAAAUAGCCAAAAUGUUAAGACAGUCAAACUAGAUUGAUUGUUUUUGAUACAAUCUGUGAGUGGUUGACCCAAGAAUUCUCAAUCUAAUCACGCCUAUAAAUACAGAGACUGUAUCCACAGAUGCAAAAGCAGCCAGAGGACAAGUGAGAAAUUCGUCAGUCACCUGGAUGCCUCAUCUCUACAAUGGCACUGAACAGCAUGUGAAGAGACACCCGCAAGGGUCUGUGAGUGGCUUCUGGGCGCUGGGUCUCACAGGAAGCAUCUACUUUAAAAGCUGGGAAUGCUGAUCCUUUCAGUUUCUAUCAAGAAGACAAAGUCUGGCUUAUAAUAGAAAAACAGAUUCCCCCAAAUCAUUGUCUAGAGGUGUUGAAUCACACAUGAAUGUCAGCAAAUGAUGCCAACUAUGGAUCACUUUCCUGGGGACUUUAUCUGGUGUGAACCAAGAGAAUCCUACUUCAUGCAUUUUUUUAAACAUCCACAGAUAACUGUUGUGCUGUGUCAUAGACCAAAAGGGAAAUUACAUUUUUCUCAUAAUUGGAUUUGGUACUUGUAGGCUUUCCUGAAGACAAGGAAAAGGAAAUUUAUUUUAGAUUCUUAAAAAACCUUGAACUAAAAAAUUUCAAUCAGCAUAUCAGGUGCCUAUCUGAAUUCAACCACCACUGUGGCAGAGAUGGAUGACUUCGUGUACCGGUACAGGAGAAAAGGGUUCCUGAAGCUUCAUUCUUGUUUGUUUGUUUGGUUGGGCUUUUUCUUUUCAUUCUGAGUUCUAAAAAAGUUAUUACUUGAUAGCUUGGUGGCAAUGCAGUCUGUGUUGAGAAAAUAGGAAUUGAUUAAGAAGUGAGAGACUGUGAGAGACUGAAAAUGAGUAAGAAAAAAAAAAAGCCUACAAAGCAUUUACAGUGUAAUUUUCCAAUACAGAUUUGAGUAGAUACUGCAUGCACUUAGAAACAGAUGCAUUGUCAAGCCUUUAUUAUUGAACAAAGAAUAAUUUUUGAGUUUCCCCUUUUUAAAAAGAACCCAAGAAAAUACAAUGCUAAAAUCUAUAUAUUAGCACAGCAUUCAUUUGAAUGCCUAAUUGCUUGAGACUUGCAAGAUUCAGUCUCAACUGGUGGAGGUCCUGACAUAGCUAGCAUAUGGCUGGAUGCUAAGGAAGAAUGGUUGCAAUGAUCAUUUGUGGAAACAAAACAUUAAUCUAUAAAUAUCAAUUUGCUGGGCUAAUUACCAAGGAUGUUAACUUGAUGUAUUGAUUAUUACAAAAUAAAUCUGUGGAUACAUUUAAAUGUAUG
rnacentral:lncRNA from 1 species